UCCCUUCUCUUAUACUACCCCCAUUGGUUCUUUUGGAGAGGCGUUGGCUGUUGAAAGUAUAACCGACAUCAACAAAUACAAUAACCCAAAACCGACCCCUGUUUCUCCUAAACAUUUUCCCCUUAUAAAACUCCAGAAAUUACUCAAACAAGAUUCACAUUUAUUUCUAAAAACUUUCUAAAAAGCUCCUAUUGAUAUAUUCCCCUGCUUCUUGAAUCGCCAUGGACGCGAAGAUCGGAGCAAUUGACACGUGUAAACCGGCGAACAACGACGUGGGAAGCUUACCAACAACCAACAGCGUUACCAUUCACACACCUACCGUUCCGUUCAACUCACCGGACUCCACACUAGGCCGUCAUUUAGCACGCCGUUUAGUCCAAGUCGGCGUCACCGACGUUUUUGGCGUUCCCGGCGACUUUAAUCUUACACUUUUAGACCACUUAAUAGCUGAACCUGGGCUCAAAUUCAUUGGCUGUUGUAACGAGCUAAAUGCUGGGUAUGCUGCUGAUGGGUACGCUAGAGCUCGUGGUGUUGGAGCUUGUGUUGUGACUUUUACUGUUGGUGGACUUAGUGUUCUUAAUGCUAUUGCUGGUGCUUAUAGUGAGAAUCUUCCUUUGAUAUGUAUUGUUGGUGGGCCUAAUUCUAAUGAUUAUGGAACUAACAGAAUCCUUCAUCAUACUAUUGGAUUGCCUGAUUUUAGUCAAGAACUUCGUUGCUUUCAAACUGUUACUUGUUACCAGGUAGGUUUAUAGCUUGCUACAGAGUUUAGUUACUUCACUGUUUUUAAAUUUUAGAUAAAUAUAGUAUUGAUUGAUAUAAUUUUUUUGUUUUUUUUGGUGUUUUUUUCAGGCUGUGGUGAAUAACUUAGAGGAUGCACAUGAACUGAUCGAUACAGCGAUAUCUACGGCGUUGAAAGAGAGUAAGCCGGUUUAUAUAAGCAUAGGUUGUAACUUGCCGGGGAUUCCACACCCCACUUUUAGCCGUGAACCGGUACCAUUUUGCCUCUCUCCUAGGUAUAUUAUUGACCAUUUCAUUUUAUUCACUUAAUAUGCUCUGUUUGUUUCAUGUAUGUGAGGAUUUUUAUGGUGUGUGACAGUAUUUACUCUGUUUUCGUCAAGUUUAAGAUGUUGAUUUGAGCUUUUUAUACGUAGGAGAAAAUAUUAUUUUGAUUAUUGAAGUAUUGGAACAAAAUAUCAAAAUGAUAGUUAUAAAGUAAGUUUAAUAGCGAAAAAUGUCCGAUUGGAAUUCAAAUUUUGAAUAGGAUUACCUAUUUGUUUUCUUGAAAGAAUGGAAUGUCAUUAGCCAUGUUAUAUGUCUUGAAAUAAAAAAGAGUAUCAUAUAAGCUGUUUUAUAAUUACAACGAUAUCAUAUAAUUUGGGACAGAUGAAUAUCUUCUUUAGUGUUGAUUCUGUUUUGUAAUUAAUGUGGUCAAGGUGUUUACUUAUAUGGUUUUUAUCUGGUAUUAGAUUGAGUAAUCAGAUGGGUUUGGAAGCAGCAGUGGAGGCAGCUGCAGAGUUCUUAAACAAAGCUGUGAAACCAGUUGUUGUGGGAGGGCCAAAAUUGCGCGUUGCAAAGGCAUCUGAGGCAUUUGUUGAAUUGGCGGAUGCCAGUGGAUAUGCUGUUGCAGUGAUGCCAUCGGCUAAGGGGCUGGUUCCAGAACACCAUCCUCAUUUCAUUGGAACUUAUUGGGGUGCAGUGAGCACGGCUUUCUGCGCUGAAAUUGUGGAAUCUGCUGAUGCUUACUUGUUUGCUGGGCCUAUUUUUAACGACUAUAGCUCUGUUGGGUAUUCUCUGCUUCUUAAGAAAGAGAAAGCAAUCAUUGUCCAGCCGGAUCGUGUGACUAUUGCGAAUGGACCUGCAUUUGGUUGUGUUCUAAUGAAGGAUUUCCUUGCCGCUUUGGCCAAGAGGCUAAAGCACAACCCGACUGCAUACGAAAAUUAUCGUAGGAUUUAUGUUCCAGAAGGACAUCCUCUUAAGUGCGAGCCUAAGGAGGCAUUAAGGGUUAAUGUUCUCUUUGAGCACAUUCAGAGGAUGUUGUCUGGUGACACUGCUGUGAUUGCUGAGACAGGGGAUUCAUGGUUCAAUUGCCAGAAGCUUAAACUGCCCAAGGGAUGCGGGUAGGCUCCAAAUGACUGUGAAAUGCCAUUGGUAUUUGCUUAAAUGUUCAUCUAUAAUGACUUGUUACUCUUUGGCUUUCUUUCAGGUAUGAGUUCCAGAUGCAGUAUGGAUCUAUCGGUUGGUCUGUUGGCGCAACUCUUGGUUAUGCGCAAGCAGCACGAGAAAAGAGGGUGAUUGCUUUCAUUGGUGAUGGUAGCUUCCAGGUAAAACAGAUUGUUCUAUGAACUUUAAUUCAGCACAGUGAAUUGGUUGUGUUUAUCUAUUCCAUCGUUCUGUAUUGCAAAUAUUCGCAGGUGACUGCUCAGGAUAUAUCAACAAUGCUGCGAUGCGGGCAGAGGACUAUCAUCUUCUUGAUAAACAAUGGUGGUUAUACAAUUGAAGUUGAGAUCCACGACGGACCUUACAAUGUGAUUAAGAACUGGAAUUACACUGGACUAGUUGAUGCAAUCCAUAACGGGGAAGGAAAAUGUUGGACAACAAAGGUGAGGGGGAUUUUGAUAUCGAACAAUGUCAAUCAUUUUGAGUUAAAAGAUUUGUCAGCUAAAUCAAAUAUAUAUUGUCAUUGUUUCCAAUAUGCCAGGUUCAUUGUGAAGAGGAGCUUGUGGAAGCAAUUGAAACUGCAACUGAAGCCAAGAAAGAUUGCUUGUGUUUCAUUGAAGUGAUUGUUCACAAGGAUGACACCAGCAAAGAGCUGCUUGAAUGGGGUUCUAGAGUUUCUGCCGCUAAUAGUCGCCCACCAAAUCCUCAGUAAAAUUUCUGAAUGAUCAUAGCAAGUUCAGAUAACUGAAAAUAACUGUUUUCCAAGUUGGAAGUUCCCGCGUUAUAUCUCGUGUUUAAUUUCUGGGGUUCAUAUCCCAUGAGGGUAUUCUGCUAGUUAUGGCUUGUUCAUAAGAUUGUCUAUAUUGGGAAUGUUGUCUCUUCAUUUGAGAAAGUUUUGUUUACAUGAUGUCUCGUUUAAGUAACUUUGCGACCUUGUUAAUUGAUGACGAUAUUGAUCUACGCGAACACAAAAUAUGACUGUAUGAGCUCUAU
rnacentral:lncRNA from 1 species